GAGUUUGAUCGUGGCUCAGGAUGAACGCUGGCGGCGUGCCUAACACAUGCAAGUCGAACGGAUCCAUAUUGAAACCUAGUGAUGUAUGGAUUAGUGGCGGACGGGUGAGUAACGCGUGGAUAACCUGCCGUAUACAGGGGAUAACACUUAGAAAUAGGUGCUAAUACCGCAUAAGCGCACGGUUCCGCAUGGAACAGUGUGAAAAACUCCGGUGGUAUACGAUGGAUCCGCGUCUGAUUAGCCAGUUGGCGGGGUAACGGGCCCACCAAAGACGACGAUCAGUAGCCGGCCUGAGAGGGUGAACGGCCACAUUGGGACUGAGACACGGCCCAAACUCCUACGGGAGGCAGCAGUGGGGAAUAUUGCACAAUGGGGGAAACCCGUGAUGCAGCGACGCCGCGUGAGUG
rnacentral:rRNA from 1 species